UGCGUAGGCGGGCCACCAAGUCUGCGGUGAAAUUCUCCCGCUUAACGGGAGUAGUGCCGCGGAUACUGGGGGCCUCGAGGGAGAUAGGGGCGUGCGGAACUCUGGGUGGAGCGGUGAAAUGCGUUGAUAUCCAGAGGAACUCCGGUGGCGAAGGCGGCACGCUGGAUCUUUUCUUGACGCUGAGGCACGAAAGCCAGGGGAGCGAACG
rnacentral:rRNA from 1 species